rnacentral:rRNA from 1 species
ACAACAGUCCGAAAGGACUGCUAAUACCGAAUGUUGUGAGUUUUCCGCAUGGGAAGCUCAUUAAAGGUGGCCUCUACUUGUAAGCUAUCACUUAGAGAUGGGCCUGCGUCUGAUUAGCUAGUUGGCGGGGUAACGGCCCACCAAGGCGACGAUCGGUAGCCGGUCUGAGAGGAUGAACGGCCACAUUGGGACUGAGACACGGCCCAGACUCCUACGGGAGGCAGCAGUGGGGAAUCUUCCGCAAUGGGCGAAAGCCUGACGGAGCAACGCCGCCGUGAGUGAAGAAGGUCUUCGGAUCGUAAAGCUCUGUCGAAGGGGACGAACGUGGGUUCUAUCAACAACGGAACCUAAUGACGGUACCUUUCAAGAAAGCCACGGCUAACUACGUGCCAGCCGCCGC